ensembl:lncRNA CUTALP cutA divalent cation tolerance like, pseudogene
GGAUACAGAAUCUGAGUCUGAGGGGAGCCUGGUUGACAGAGAGACAAAAAAAGAAAUUUUUUUUUUCUGACUAAAAAAAAAAAGGAAAUUUUGUUAACAAAAUCAAGAAUUUAAAAAAAAUGCUGUGAGAGCUGAUCUAUGCAUCUGGUUUGUGAGCCAGUAUUCUGUGAUGGCUGCAGUUUUUAGAGAUCCUAGUAGCUCUACACAUCUGUCUUCUGCUUUCCUAGAACCUGGGCACCCCAUGGAUGACUCACUGCUGGUUUUGUGUGUGUGGCCAUGCUGGAUAAGGAGCUGGCUGCCUCUGUGAACAUCCUACUCAAGGCAUCUUCACUGCUGUACAUCCUUUUGAAAUCCCAGAGAUCUUCAGUCUCCCUGUGGAUUAAGGAGAUGUGCAGUAUUUAAAGUGGCUUCAGGAAGGCAUGGAAGAGGACUGAGUGGGGAAAGCUUUUUGUGCAUGCUGCUGGCUACCUCCAGCGGCUGCCUCCAGCCUCCAUCAGCUGCACUCUGGGGAAGAGGAGGCUGCCUUCUACCUCCCAGCAUCUCUGGAUUUCAUGUUCCUGUCAGCACAGAGGAGCUAAAUGGCCUGUAGAGGC